ACUUGUUUAGCUCAGUUGGUAGAGCACAAGGUUUUUAGCCAUGAGGUCGUGGGUUCGAGCCCCAUUGUGGGUG
rnacentral:tRNA from 1 species